rnacentral:pre_miRNA from 1 species
UUAAAAUUAUAGCACGAGUGUUCGGUCUAGUCACUUUCUUAUUAGAUUGGCAAAAACAAACAAGAUUUUUGGAAAAAGAGACUAUACCGACAAUCGCCAUUCAAUUUUAAAAG